rnacentral:rRNA from 1 species
UCGGGAAUAUUGCGCAAUGGAGGAAACUCUGACGCAGUGACGCCGCGUAUGGGAAGAAGGUUUUCGGAUUGUAAACCAUUUUAGACAAGGAAGAAAAAAGACAGUACUUGUAGAAUAAGCUCCGGCUAACUACGUGCCAGCAGCCGCGGUAAUACGUAGGGAGCAAGCGUUAUCCGGAUUUAUUGGGUGUAAAGGGUGCGUAGACGGGAAGGUAAGUUAGUUGUGAAAUCCCUCGGCUCAACUGAGGAACUGCGACUAAAACCUGCUUUUACUUGAUGUACUGGAGAGGAAAGGUAGGAAUUCCUAGUGUAGCGGUGAAAUGCGUAGAUAUUAGGAGGAACACCAGUGGCGAAGGCGACUUUCUGGACAGUAACUGACGUUGAGGCACGAAAGUGUGGGGAGCAAACAGGAUUAGAUACCC